GGGUUGAUAGCACAACGGUAGUGCAUCCGACUCCAGAUCGGAAGGUUGGGGGUUCAAAUCCCUCUCGGCUCU